CAGCGGCGGACGGGUGAGUAACACGUGGGUAACCUGCCUGUAAGACUGGGAUAACUCCGGGAAACCGGGGCUAAUACCGGAUAACUCAUUUCCUCGCAUGAGGAAAUGUUGAAAGGUGGCUUUUACCUACCACUUACAGAUGGACCCGCGGCGCAUUACCUAGUUGGUGAGGUAACGGCUCACCAAGGCAACGAUGCGUACCCAACCUGAAAGGGUGAUCGGCCACACUGGGACUGAAACACGGCCCAAACUCCUACGGGAGGCAGCAUUAGGGAAUCUUCCGCAAUGGACAAAAGUCUGACGGACCAACGCCCCGUGAUUGAUGAAGGUUUUCGGAUCGUAAAGCUCUGUUGUUAGGGAAAAACAAGUGCCGUUCGAAUAGGGCGGCACCUUGACGGUACCUAACCAAAAAGCCACGGCUAACUACUUGCCACCACCCGCGGUAAUACUUAGGUGGCAAGCGUUGUCCGGAAUUAUUGGGCGUAAAGCGCGCGCAGGUGGUUCCUUAAUUCUGAUGUGAAAGCCCACGGCUCAACCGUGGAGGGUCAUUGGAAACUGGGGAACUUGAUUGCAAAAAAGGAAAGUGGAAUUCCAAGUGUACCGGUGAAAUGCG
rnacentral:rRNA from 1 species